rnacentral:rRNA from 1 species
AGAGUUUGAUCAUGGCUCAGGAUGAACGCUAGCUACAGGCUUAACACAUGCAAGUCGAGGGGAAACGAUAUUGGAAGCUUGCUUCCGAUAGGCGUCGACCGGCGUACGGGUGAGUAACGCGUAUCCAACCUGCCCACCACUUGGGGAUAACCUUGCGAAAGUAAGACUAAUACCCAAUGACGUCUCUAGAAGACAUCUGAAAGAGAUUAAAGAUUUAUCGGUGAUGGAUGGGGAUGCGUCUGAUUAGCUUGUUGGCGGGGUAACGGCCCACCAAGGCGACGAUCAGUAGGGGUUCUGAGAGGAAGGCCCCCCACAUUGGAACUGAGACACGGUCCAAACUCCUACGCAGGGAGCA